rnacentral:rRNA from 1 species
GAUGAACGCUGGCGGCGUGCCUAAUACAUGCAAGUCGAGCGAACAGACGAGGAGCUUGCUCCUCUGACUUUAGCGGCGGACGGGUGAGUAACACGUGGAUAACCUCCCUAUAAGACUGGGAUAACUUCGGGAAACCGGAGCUAUUCCCGGAUAAUUUAUUGAACCGCAUGGUUCAAUAUUGAAAGACGGUUUUGCUGUCACUUAUAGAUGGAUCCGCGCCGCAUUAGCUAGUUGGUAAGGUAACGGCUUACCAAGGCAACGAUGCGUAGCCGACCUGAGAGGGUGAUCGGCCACACUGGAACUGAGACACGGUCCAGACUCCUACGGGAGGCAGCAGUAGGGAAUCUUCCGCAAUGGGCGAAAGCCUGACGGAGCAACGCCGCGUGAGUGAUGAAGGUCUUCGGAUCGUAAAACUCUGUUAUUAGGGAAGAACAAAUGUGUAAGUAACUAUGCACGUCUUGACGGUACCUAAUCAGAAAGCCACGGCUAACUACGUG